CAUUAAAUCAGUUAUGUUCAUUUGAUCGUACAGUUUACUUGGAUAACUGUGGUAAUUCUAGAGCUAAUACAUGCGAGAAGCGCCGACCUCGCGGGAGGCGUGCAUUUAUCAGACCAAAAACCGGCCGCGUCUUCGGGCGCGUUCGCCUUGGUGACUCUGGAUAACUUUGCGGAUCGCACGGUCUAGCACCGGCGACGGAUCAUUCAAGUGUCUGCCCUAUCAACUUUCGUCGGUACGGUAUUUGCCUACCGAGGUUCUUACGGGUGACGGGGAAUCAGGGUUCGAUUCCGGAGAGGGAGCCUGAGAAACGGCUACCACAUCCAAGGAAGGCAGCAGGCGCGCAAAUUACCCAUUCCCGACGCGGGGAGGUAGUGACGAAAAAUAACAAUGCAGGACUCGUUCGAGGCCCUGUAAUUGGAAUGAGUACACUUUAAAAGCUUUAACGAGUAUCCAUUGGAGGGCAAGUCUGGUGCCAGCAGCCGCGGUAAUUCCAGCUCCAAAAGUAUAUAUUUAAGUUGUUGCGGUUAAAAAGCUCGUAGUUGGAUUUUGGGCGCAGGCGGCCGGUCCGUCGCAAGGCGUGUACUGGACGUCCUGGCCUUCCCUCCGGUUCUCCGCCGGUGCUCUUGACUGAGUGUCGGCGGCGGCCGGAACGUUUACUUUGAAAAAA
rnacentral:ncRNA from 1 species